AAACACAACAAAACGAAAUUCCCCAAAAAAACAUUGUUUAUUUAGAAUUAAUUAAAUAUUUCAUUUGCAUUUUUAAAGGGGUCAUGAACUGCCUUUUUUGGUACUGUUCUCUAAGGUACACUUAAAAUGUUAUCAAGAUUUUUACAUCAAAAAACAUAAUUUAGAAUGGGCUUUUUAAUGUCCUGUUUUUACCCCUCAUCAAUUAGUUUUUAAACUAACAAGAAAGUGCUUACAUGAUAUUUUUAUAGUGCAAUGACCUCUAAUAUGUCAAAAGAUCAAGGGAAUUUUGUUUUCUAGUUCAUGACCCCUUUAAAAACAGGGGUGAAUUCAAAUAAACCGGGCGUCACUUGACAUUGAUUUACUAGAUUUACCAUAAUAGUCCUGCAUAUCAGUAAAUUCAAUGACUCCCCCGCACACGCACACAGGCACAUUUUCCCAAAAUCUAACAUACUUGGCAAAAACAGUGCAUGGGGAAUUCCUGCUUUGGUUUUCUCAAUACAAACAUUUACUGUAGCCUAUCUAUUAAACCUUAAAAAAAAAAAAAAGUAGAAGUAGAAGUACAGUAAGACACGUAGGCCAAUAUGAUUUAACUUCUGGUGCUGUUUAGUCAUGCAUGACAUCACAGUGUUUACAGACGAUGACGUCACUUGUUUAAAAUUGCUAGUCCUGUUGCUAAAGACAGUCUGGCUGAGAACGAAAGGAAAUCAAAACACCUCCCUUCUACGUACGUUCAUCCGAUCCGCCUUCACCAACUAGACUAUAUAAGACUCCUCAGCAUGAAUCACCGGCACUUUACUACCAACCACUUUAAGAGUUCGCAACAAGAGAGAAGCAAACAAACGACAGGACAACAUGUUUCCAGAGACGGAGUGCGGAAUCUGCUACAGAACUUACAACCUCGGUCAGCGGUGUCCUCGACAGCUGUGCUGCAAACACACGUUUUGCGAGAGCUGCCUGGUGAUGCUCUGGCGCUCCGCGGAGAGCCCUGAACCCCGGAUAAUGUGUCCGCUGUGCCGUCACUCCACGCCGCUGUCGGAGGCGAGGAUCCAAGAGACCCUGCCGGUAGACGAGGACGUUUUUGAGCGGCUUGUCACCGAGGGCUGCGCGGAGGAAUGUGCGGAUGACGACGAAGACACCGAGGAGCCCAAACGGGACACGGUCACCCCACCAAAAGAAGAAGUAUCACCCCCGCCAAGAUCGCGAAAAAGACGCCUGAUGAAACGUUUGAGUCGCCUGUGCCAGAAAUUCACCGGGGAUGCACGGAGAAACUGUAUGACUGAUGAAGACUUGAGGGACCUGGCAAUGAUGUCUUGCUACAUGAUGUGAAAGACAAGAUUUCCAGAAGUGUCACUCAGAUCAUCUGAACGCCAAAAGAUGUAACCACGCGUGAUUUAAGGGAGCAGAUGUAAUCAUUUAAGAAUCAUCUACUGAAAAACAGACGAACGGAACAUUUGGGUGGGUGUGUCCCCUCCAGUGUUUGAGGGUGUCCCGGCCCUGCCUCGAGGUUAUGGAUGGCAGUCCACAAUGGAAACCUUUGGAUAACAUUGAUGUGUUUUUGUGCUGAAGCUGUGGAAAGUCAGCGCCUGGGAAGCACAAGAGGACUGUUUGCUGUUGGGCGUGACUCGUUGCCAUAACAAAAACGUAGGGUUGUUCCAGAGAAACCUAUAAACAACACAACAAAAACAUGUCUUUUGAUUUCCCCUUCUUUUCUUUUUUUUAUGAACCACACUGCCUUACAGAUUAUUUGUUUUAGGCCAGUAUAUUUUUGGUGCUGUUUCUUUUCUGUUACAAAAUCAUGGAGAAUACUCAACCCAUAUCUCCUUUUUAAAUUAUUGUAACUUAAUGAUUUUGAAGAAUUUCUAUGAAAUAUUACUUGUAUUUAUUGUCUAUUAAGUUUAAUUAUAAGUUUUUCAGUGUUACGUUUGUAUCAAAUGAAAGAGACCUAAUUGUAUUUGUCUUUUCAUGAUCACAAAGUAAUUUUAUAUGUAUUUAUAAGUAUUUUACUUUUUUUAAGAAGAAAAUAUAGAAUGACUGUAUGCUAUGUUUGUACCAAAUAAAUGUUUUUAUAAUUUUUAUGACAAGUUUAGCACACUCUCUUUUUUUUUUUUUUUUUUUACUCCGAGGCAGAGUCACAAAUUUUCAUCAUACUUUAAGAACACAUUAAGUAUUUAAGAUUGUGUAUGUGCAAAGUUUUAUGUUCUUAGCUUUGAACACAUUCAGGUGAACCUCGUCAGCGAUCACCAUCAUGCUGAUCAACAAUAUUAGCGGUUCAGUGAGCCCAAAUUAAUAGGGUAAUUUGGACCAGGUGUAACAAAAAGCAUUGUGUGGAACGUAAGCACAAGUGCAUUAGUCCUUAAAACAUGUCUCUUCAAUACUAUCUGAGGUAAGAAUUCAGGCCUUCAAUUUAGCAAUACCAUUCUUAUACUUUAUUCCUUUUUUGUAAUAAUUUAUUGUAAUUUUAAAACGGACUAAUUUUUUAUAGACUGGCUCUGGUUGGUUUGGCUCUUUCUGUUGUGGGAUGUUUGCCUGAAGUAUCAAUAGGUAAGGUGUAGUUUUUAGUCUGAGUAUUUAGAACAGCUGCAUGUGACAAAAGUAGUCAAAACUGUGUUAUUGUCCUUUUUCAUAUAUUCUGCAUAAUGUGUACAAAUAAAUAGGCUUUAAAUUUGCUGCCAUAUGCAUUUAUAAAAUAGCUAAAUACAUUGUUGGUUCAUCACCAAUGCCUUUAGGAGAUGUCACGGAUGAUUCAAAGAUCAAAAUACAAGCUCUGGAAAGUUUCAAAAGUGUUAAUCCACCCAUUCAAAAUCCAAUAAGAGGCAGUCUUCAAAGCAACAGAGAACAGUUUAACAGCAAAUAUCAGCUGCCGUGGAUCAGCUCUGCCUCAUACAACCAGAGAAAUGAUGUCAACUCAGUCUAUUCAGUCCCACAUAAAGUCCAGUCCAAUAUCAGAAAUAAACCUGUUGAAUUAUCAAGCGCCAAAUUUAAUGAUGAAAUUGAUGCCAAAAGAAGCUAUGCUUCCCAAACAGUCCAGCAGGAACAAAAUACUUUAGACGUUAAAGGGAGCCAAAUUAGCUCUAGUAAUAUUAAUUUGGCCCCAAGGCUGGUGAGGAAAAAAGGUGGAAUGCAUGCAGCAUAUGUGCAUAGAUCAGGCUCAUUUGGACAUCAACAUAUUUCUAAAUCAGAAAUGCACUCAGGCAGUUCACAACCAUUAGGACUCAAUGAACCUUAUUUGAAGGAAAAUAUUCCAACUAAUUAUAUGCCUAGAAGCUCAACAGUGAACCACAAUAUGAGGCACAAAAGUAAUGGAAACAUGCUGAUGGAAAAUUUUCUUCAAAACAAUGGCCAGAAUCAAAACAUGCUGAGGAGAGUUGUACCAUCAAAUACAUCUCCCUCAAUUGUAACAGCAAAUCAGCAAAAGAGCCAACCAUUGCCACAAGCUUUUUCUGCUGGGACUGGAAUCAUUUCUCAAAUUUCCUACGAGAAUAUGAGGGACGUAGCUCUUUCAAAGGUGUUCAAAACGCCAAUCCCAACACCAAUAUCACCUGCAUUUAAGAGAUCAAAUUCAAAUGGAGGUCCUAGCAUCCUUCCAUUAAUAAAAUCUCAGAUGUUUUCUUCUCAGCAGGAUCACAUCAAGCUGUCUAAUUCUGAAAGGGUUGCCAAUCCAAAAGCAAAUCUGCAAAGCAGUUUUGAAUUUGGAAAUACAAAUAGCUACAUGCUCGAGAACAUUCAGUCGACACAAAAUGGUUACCAAAAUGGGGGACAAAGUAGUCAGAAUGUUGUGCCCAUUCAAACCUUUCACAAUCAAAAGAAGUAUGAUAAUCUGGCUACAGGUAUAUCUGCCAUCAGGCCUUCAGUCACCAAUAAUGCCCACUCUUACUUCCUAUCAGAUGAAAACAGUGGCAUCCAGAUGUCUGCACUACUCAAACGGUCAAAAGAAAUCACUGACUUGACCCCACGAAUGCAGUUUGGAAAGAACAAAAUGUUAUUUUCAGAACGUGAUACAAAUAUUUAUCUACCAGACCUAACAAAUCAUUCAUUGAGGAAGCCAAGUCAGCAUAAUGCGCAAAAUAGGUCACAUCUGAAUUCCUUCGGCCAAAGUACUGUACAAUCGUUAUCCAUUAAACAUUAUCCUGCGCCAAGUCUUGUGCCAGGUAACACAUUGAAGAGUCAUGUCCACGGCUUUAGUCCAUCUGUGGCUGGGACUCAGGGCGCAUCUAAAAAUUCAGGUACGUCUAGUAGCCGACCAUAUUAUCUAACUUUUAAAAAGCCAUAUGCUUUUAAAGGUUUCACAUUUGUCCCUACAUUGCAGACAUCGCUACAAAAAUCAGAAAUGCACUCUGGCCAAAAGCCCCUCUUAAAGUCUUUAUCUAAUGUGCAAUAUGCCCCUGCUCGUUCACAUACCGCCCAAAGUGCACUCGCUCAAAAACCCUUGAUGCAUAAGAGCUACAAAAAAAUGCUUUUCCAGUUCAAGGACAUUGAAUCAAGCCAAGAAAAACAACUUUAUUGGGAUCAGACAGAUUCUUUUGAUAAUGGACCUAAACGUGAAACCAUCUCUUCUACUGAAGGUGCAAGUAACCUGAUGUCUGAUGCUCUAAAGCACCAUGCUGUUAGAGGUCAAGCUGUAGCAAUGAAAACAUCUCUCAGUGGCACAAAUACUACAAAUAAUGUAGCUGUUGACGAAGUUCAGUCAAAAACAUCUCAGAGGUGGACUUCAAGUAGGCUUACUUCAGCACAGCCCUCUAAAUCUAACAAAGAUGAAUUCCCAACAGGCAGUUUUGUUAGAUCCAACUUAAACAAAGCAUCCAUAAAAUCUAGCAACAGUCAUAACAGUCCCACAUCAGAGCUUAUUCUUCCAAUUCAUAAGUCUUCUCUUAUGAACAAAGUGACUGGGUAUCCUCGAAUACACAAUGCUGCUAUCCAGCCACUUCGCAGGUAUGUUUUGAAGGAACAUGAAGGUGUGUUAAAUCCAACAAAGGAAAUUAAAGAUAGAAAUUCUACUGGAAUAACACAGUCAAAUACUACUGAAAAUUAUAGCCCCAUUAGACUGAGACCGACCAGCAGCUUUGCGAUUGGAAGGCAAGUUAAAGACAAUUCAGACCACCAGAACAUCUAUGCUAUCUCAACCUCUCAAUCUGCAAUUUAUAGAUCUGCUGGCAUUAAUAGUCAAAAAACGGAUGGCUCUACAAAGCUCACUUUCCAGUCACCUAUGCACAGAUCUGCUAUGAAACCUUCUGGCAAAGUUAACAUCCUAAAAGCUAAUGCAGCUUCAGACUGGAGGAACGAAACGUCUCCAAUCUCAGAAGCAGAUAUCAACCUUAGUGCCGUCAGUGUGUCCCAGGCUUUAAGACCCACAACCAAACCCAACCUUAACAUGUCUAUGACAAAAUCAGGCCUAAACAAUUAUAAACCAGUUCAGAUUUCCUAUAUAGCAGGUAGCACCUCCUUCACCGAUGUCAAACCACAUUCUGCUAACACCAAGGCGAAGGAAGAAGUGGAUCUCGAAAGUGAUCAAAACAGCAGUAAUUCAACAUCAGUGAUGGAGGAAAGUUUUAAAGAGCUGGUUUUAGACAGUUCCUCUAUGAUCUCAGCCUUACAAAAUGAAAUGGAUGAAAGUGCAAUGGAUUUACGCGUCCCUGAGCUUAUGCCAACAGCUGCUUAUGAGUCACAGCUGGAGCCUGGGAAUCAUACCACACCUACAGCAGAGGAUAUUGAUCCAUUUUAUGAGGGGACAUUGAUACCCAAUACCACUUUGCAGGACGAAAUGACCUCAAGUUGAGAUCUGCCCGCAUGCAAUCCAAUGGCAGCCGUCCUUAACUGCAAUGUGAGGUGAUUUUCUCUUCUGUAGGUAGAUGGCGCCAGAUCUAUCCUCACAUUAAUUUGCAUUAAAUUUCUGAGUUCUGAGUUUCAUAGUUUGUUCUUUACUUCCCGCUGAUAGUCAUGAUUUUGGAAGAAAAAAUGUGGAUGAUAUUAACCAUUUUUUCCCCAAGCAAUAUAUUCAGAUGUCUUAUAUCAAACCGAAUUUGAAAACAGUAAACCUUGCAUCCAAAUAUAACUUUCUGUUAUUGAAUAUAAAUCAUGAAAUUAGUUUACUGAUGUGAGGAUGGGUUCAGACAUGUGAGCACACUUUGUUUCCAUGCCAAUAAUUUUUUCUCUCUCGAUAUUAUAGUCUCCAAAGUCCAUGGAUUUGAAUUGAGUUUUCUUGAAGUAUCACUGACAAACUGUGAUUUUAAUUAUUCAGGCCAAGCUAUUUAAAACUUAAUCACUUAAUUAUUAUUAUGAGCAGACAUUUUAACGAGGCAAGAGGUCUUUCUUUAGGUCAUUCCUGUUGUGCAGUAACUUUUCAACUCUGGAACUUUUAAGAUAAUUAAUAAUGUGUUGUAAAUUAAGCAAGUAUUUCUAUAAAAGUGAAUACCAGACUUUAAGAAAUAAGCUCUGGUUAAAAUCAGGGACUUAAGCAUUAUUUAUUAUAAUUUGACUAUUUACACAGUGCCAAGAAAAAGAACAGGACUGAAAUAAGGACCACCUUAACAAUACCCAAGAGUAAGUUUAACUGACAAUGUCAACUUGGUUAACUGUGAUAUAAAACAGAAUCAAUCAGAAUUUAUUGCUAAAAUGUACUUACAUGUGUGCUGUUGUUUCCCCACCAAAACAAUUUCACUUCCUUUGGUUUGAUGUCAUUGAGAUGUCACUUGAGACUGGUCUUUUUUGUUUAAAGAGAAAUUAAGUACAUGGGUAAAUAGGCUAUAUUCCCGUGUGAACAUGUUUUGUUGAAACAUUAAAGAAUAAACAAACUGCAACAUCUGCUCCAAGUGGAAAUAUUUAAAAUUCACUACCCCAUUCACUUAAUUGUGAUAUUGUGAUAAAAGACAAUUUAAUAAUGAUAAUAAUCUUUAUUUUCUAUAGC
ensembl:lncRNA